rnacentral:rRNA from 1 species
UGACCGCUGGCGGCGUGCCUAAUACAUGCACGUCGAGCGAACAGACGAGGAGCUUGCUCCUCUGACGUUAGCGGCGGACGGGUGAGUAACACGUGGAUAACCUACCUAUAAGACUGGGAUAACUUCUGGAAACCGGAGCUAAUACCGGAUAAUAUAUUGAACCGCAUGGUUCAAUAGUGAAAGACGGUUUUGCUGUCACUUAUAGAUGGAUCCGCGCCGCAUUAGCUAGUUGGUAAGGUAACGGCUUACCAAGGCAACGAUGCGUAGCCGACCUGAGAGGGUGAUCGGCCACACUGGAACUGAGACACGGUCCAGACUCCUACGGGAGGCAGCAGUAGGGAAUCUUCCGCAAUGGGCGAAAGCCUGACGGAGCAACGCCGCGUGAGUGAUGAAGGUCUUCGGAUCGUAAAACUCUGUUAUUAGGGAAGAACAAAUGUGUAAGUAACUAUGCACGUCUUGACGGUACCUAAUCAGAAAGCCACGGCUAACUACGUG